GGAGAAGAAAAGAGCACCUCUUCAGAUUGCUGUGCCCCCAGCUCUGCCAGUUUGUUUUCUUCAAAAGGGGAAAAAAGUCCCAUAAAGAAGAAAGCUUUGCUUGGUUUCCAGGAUUGCCCACCCAGGAGAACUAAAAGGGCAGUGAAAAUAGAAGUAUCCUCACCAACAGAAGAGAAAAGACUAAAGGUAGCAUCUCUGGUCUGUGUUCAUGUACAGACUAGGACCUGGAGGGGACUGUUUGGUUUUGAUUUUUAAGGAAACUGUAAGGCACCGCAGUUAGAAUCUCAUAUUUGAAGUGCUUGUCAAGAACAUAGUCCUCCUUAAGGGUAAUAUUAAUACUUCAUU
rnacentral:lncRNA from 1 species